rnacentral:lncRNA from 1 species
UGUUGAAGAAAUCGAUCAGGAUUCAGGUGGGUUGUCAACUUGUCAUCAAACAUGCAUAAUUAAAAAUGUCAAUAAAGAAGAAGAAAAAAACAUUUAAAUCCUCCAAAAAUAGGUACAGAUCGACAGAUAAAUCUUGGCAAUGGCAACCAAUGAAGAAUCUCUUGCUUUAACACCGCUCAAGUACCAGACGUGGAAGCUGAAGGUUUUCAUCCAUUGCAAUGGCUGUACGAGAAAAGUUAAGAAAUUGUUGCAAACCAUAGAUGGUACGUACUUCCAUUUAAACACCCAAAUUACUUGUUUAAUCUCACCAUAGAUUGUUGUUUUGCAGGUGUUUAUAAGAUCGCGAUCGAUCCCCAACAACAUAAGGUCACGGUGGUGGGUGAUGUUGGGGUCGAUCUCUUAAUCCAAAAGUUGGAGAAGAAUGGGAAACGAGCCGUGGUUUGGUCCGAUGAGGAGGGGCAUCAACCUACCGUCAAGGAGAAGGGGAAGAGUACUGUCCAACAAAACAGUGUUGCGGGAAGCAAUAAAUCUGUCAAUAAACCUGCCGGAAGUAAAGGGAAACAAGAUGAAUCAAACGAAAAAAAGAACAAUAAAAAAUCCAACACCAAUGAGAAGCAGCCGACCGAGGACAGGCAAAGUUCUAACAAGAAGAAGACUGCGACAGUGAAGGAGAACGGUGCUGAUUGCAGUGUUGGUGGACCAGAAGGAGGAUCUGGAGGUGGAUUGGAAGGAGGAGCUGACGAGAAACACCAACAAAUGAAGCAGCAUUCCAAAUUACCUGGAGUUUUGGUUACCUCCCCAGCUAUUUUAGCAGUGAACUGCAACCUAGUACAACCAAAUGGUGGGUUUUGGAGCUACGGUAGUGGUAACUCAGAUGUGCCGUCUUCUCAGAAUCCGAUGCCAC